rnacentral:misc_RNA from 1 species
AACAAGGCGUACCUGCGGACCUGCGGAAGGAUCAUUACUGAGUCACGUGCUCAAACAACCCUUCUGUGGACCUGAAAUAAAACCGUUGCCUCGGCGGGCGGUCCCCCCCAGACCAACCCCACGUGGUGGGUUAGGGGAGACCAGACAGUCCGGUACGCUUAAGGCGUCCGGCGCCAGCCGCUGGCCCCAAACAAUUAAACUCUAGUAAUCUUUACCUUCUGAGUUUCAAUAUUUAAAAAU